GUGUCUCCUGGCUGCGUGGCCAGUAAAAGGCAAGAAUAAAGCGGGUUCCGCCUCUUCCUCGGGCGACUGAGUCCUUCCGUUGCCGUCGGGCAAUGCUCUACCUGUUUCUCCAGUGUUCUUCCACAUGCAUGAGAAACUUGGUUAAAGGGGCAGACAGACAUGUAACUAUAUAGUGAGGUAAUGAAGAAAUGACCCAGGGAC